UGUCGCUGGCUCCUAGGAGCAUGUGCACACUCGUCAUCUUUAUCUCAUCCACCUGUGCACCUUUUGUAGACUUUGGAGAUGAUAAGCGUGAAAAUGUCGAGGAAAAACUAAUUCAUUGGUCCCUCGGAAAGAGGUUUGCAAAACGGCUGACCUUGAUGCUCGCGCAAGUCUCGCCGAGUCUAUGUUUUCAUAUACCACGUAGAAUGACUUAGAAUGUAUUCACUAGGCCUCAGUGCCUAUAAAACACAAUACAACUUUCAGCAGCGGAUCUCUUGGCUCUCGCAUCGAUGAAGAACGCAGCGAAAUGCGAUAAGUAAUGUGAAUUGCAGAAUUCAGUGAAUCAUCGAAUCUUUGAACGCACCUUGCGCUCCUUGGUAUUCCGAGGAGCAUGCCUGUUUGAGUGUCAUUUAAUUCUCAACCCCCUCCCAGCUUUAUCUGGUUUGGUGGCUUGGAUGUGGGGGAUAAAUCUUGCGGGCCUCUUUUAGAGGUCGGCUCCCCUGAAAUGCAUUAGUGGAACCGUUUACGGGUCUGUCACUGGUGUGAUAAUUAUCUACGCCAAAGACGAUCGCUCUCAGUAGCUCUGCUUCUAAUCGUCCUUUACGUCGGACAACAAUUAUAUGAAUACUUGACCUCAAAUCAGGUAGGACUACCCGCUGAACUUAAGCAUAUCAAUAAGCG
rnacentral:rRNA from 1 species